rnacentral:rRNA from 1 species
CCCUCUACCCUGAACACCUGGUCUCUUCUGAUCUCAGAAGCCAAGCAGGGUUGGGCCUGGUUAGUACUUGGAUGAAAGAAUCCUUGACUAAAGAGU